AACGAACGCUGGCGGCGCGCCUAAUACAUGCAAGUCGAGCGAGAAGACGUAGCAAUACGUUUGUAAAGCGGCGGACGGGUGAGGAAUACAUGGGUAACCUACCCUCGAGUGGGGAAUAACUAGCCGAAAGGUUAGCUAAUACCGCGUACGCUCCUUGGACUUCGGUUCAGGGAGGAAAGCGAUACCGUGGGUAUCGCGCUCUUGGAUGGGCUCAUGUCCUAUCAGCUUGUUGGUGAGGUAACGGCUCACCAAGGCUUCGACGGGUAGCUGGUCUGAGAGGACGAUCAGCCACACUGGCACUGCGACACGGGCCAGACUCCUACGGGAGGCAGCAGUAAGGAAUAUUGCGCAAUGGGCGAAAGCCUGACGCAGCGACGCCGCGUGGGGGA
rnacentral:rRNA from 1 species